rnacentral:rRNA from 1 species
GAGAUCCCGUCUUUGACACGGACUCCCAGUGCAUUGUGGUACGCUCUCAAAGAGUCGUGUUGUUUGGGAAUGCAGCACUAAAUGGGUGGUAAAUUCCAUCUAAAGCUAAAUAUUGGCGAGAGACCGAUAGCAAACAAGUACCGUGAGGGAAAGAUGAAAAGAACUUUGGAAAGAGAGUUAAACAGUACGUGAAAUUGUUGAAAGGGAAACGCUUAAAGUCCAGUCGCGUCUUCUGGGAAUCAGUCUUGCUUCUGCAUGAUGUACUUUCUAGUCGACGGGUCAGCAUCAGUUUUGACCGGUGGACAAGAGUUGGAGGAAUGUGGCACCUUCGGGUGUGUUAUAGCCUCUGAUUGUAUACGCCGGUUGGGACUGAGGAACUCAGCACGCCGCAAGGCCGGGUCUUU